UACGAAGGGGGCGAGCGUUGUUCGGAUUUACUGGGCGUAAAGGGCGCGCAGGCGGCUUUGUUUGUCAGGCGUGGAAGCCCCGGGCUUAACCUGGGAACUGCGUUUGAUACGGCAGGGCUAGAGUUCGGGAGAGGAGAGUGGAAUUCCCAGUGUAGAGGUGAAAUUCGUAGAUAUUGGGAAGAACACCGGUGGCGAAGGCGGCUCACUGGACCACAACUGACGCUGAUGCACGAAAGCUAGGGGAGCAAACAGG
rnacentral:rRNA from 1 species